GCAGUAAUAGUUAAAUGGUAUAAUACGAGCUUCCCAAGCUUGUGUUCCGGGUUCGAUUCCCGGUUACUGCA
rnacentral:tRNA from 1 species